rnacentral:rRNA from 1 species
UACGUAGGGUGCAAGCGUUGUCCGGAUUUAUUGGGCGUAAAGAGCUCGUAGGUGGUUCGCUAAGUCGGAUGUGAAAACUCGGGGCUCAACCCCGAGACGCCAUCCGAUACUGGCGUGACUUAAGUCUGGUAGGGGAGAUCGGAAUUCCUGGUGUAGCGGUGAAAUGCGCAGAUAUCAGGAGGAACACCGGUGGCGAAGGCGGAUCUCUGGGCCAGUACUGACACUGAGGAGCGAAAGCGUGGGUAGCAAACAGG